CGAUGCGAUCAUAACAGCACUAAAGCAUCAGAUCCCAUCAGAACUCCAAAGUUAAGCGUGCUUGGGCGAGAGUAGUACUAUGAUGGGUGACCUCCUGGGAAGUCCUUGUGUUGCAUUCC
rnacentral:rRNA from 1 species